UACGAAGGGGCUAGCGUUGCUCGGAAUUACUGGGCGUAAAGGGCGCGUAGGCGGACAGUUUAGUCAGAGGUGAAAGCCCAGGGCUCAACCUUGGAAUUGCCUUUGAUACUGGCUGUCUUGAGUUCGGGAGAGGUGAGUGGAAUGCCGAGUGUAGAGGUGAAAUUCGUAGAUAUCGCAAGAACACCAGUGGCGAAGGCGGCUCACUGGCCCAUAACUGACGCUGAGGCACGGAAAGCGUGGGGAGCAAACAGG
rnacentral:rRNA from 1 species